rnacentral:tRNA from 1 species
GAGGGUAUAGCUCAGCGGCAGAGUGCAUGCCUAGCAUGCACGAUGUCCUGGGUUCCAUUCCCAGCACCUCUG